UACAGAGGGGGCAAGCGUUGUUCGGAAUUACUGGGCGUAAAGGGCGCGUAGGCGGCCUGCUAAGUCGAACGUGAAAUCCCCGAGCUCAACUCGGGAACUGCGUCCGAUACUGGCAGGCUUGAAUCCGGGAGAGGGAUGCGGAAUUCCAGGUGUAGCGGUGAAAUGCGUAGAUAUCUGGAGGAACCCCGGUGGCGAAGGCGGCAUCCUGGACCAAUUCUGACGCUGAGGAGCGAAAGCCAGGGGAGCAAACGGG
rnacentral:rRNA from 1 species